rnacentral:rRNA from 1 species
GAUGAACGCUGGCGGCGUGCCUAAUACAUGCAAGUCGAGCGAACAGACGAGGAGCUUGCUCCUCUGACGUUAGCGGCGGACGGGUGAGUAACACGUGGAUAACCUACCUAUCAGACUGGGAUAACUUCGGGAAACCGGAGCUAAUACCGGAUAAUAUAUUGAACCGCAUGGUUCAAUAGUGAAAGACGGUUUUGCUGUCACUUAUAGAUGGAUCCGCGCCGCAUUAGCUAGUUGGUAAGGUAACGGCUUACCAAGGCGACGAUGCGUAGCCGACCUGAGAGGCGGGUCGGCCGCACUGGAACUGGAACACGGACCAGACUCCUACGGGAGGCAGCAGUAGGGAAUCGUCCGCAAUGGGCGAAAGCCUGACGGAGCAACGCCGCGUGAGAUAUGAAGAUCUUCGGAGCGUAAAACUCGGUUAUGAGGGAAGAACAAAUUUGGAAGUAACUAUGCACGGCUUGACGGUACCUAAUCAGAAAGCCACGGCUAACUACGUG